rnacentral:rRNA from 1 species
GGGUAUGGUUUGGAUAGUUUUUCGGUUUGGGAUGGGCUCGCGGCCUAUCAGCUUGUUGGUGAGGUAAUGGCUCACCAAGGCGACGACGGGUAGCCGGCCUGAGAGGGCGACCGGCCACACUGGGACUGAGACACGGCCCAAACUCCUACGGGAGGCAGCAGUGGGGAAUAUUGCACAAUGGGCGAAAGCCUGAUGCACCGACGCCGCGUGAGGGAUGACGGCCUUCGGGUUGUAAACCUCUUUCAGCAGGGAAGAAGCGAAAGUGACGGUACCUGCAGAAGAAGCACCGGCUAACUACGUGCCAGCAGCCGCGGUAAUACGUAGGGUGCGAGCGUUGUCCGGAAUUAUUGGGCGUAAAGAGCUUGUAGGCGGUUUGUCGCGUCUGCUGUGAAAAUCCGGGGCUCAACCCCGGACUUGCAGUGGGUACGGGCAGACUAUAGUGUGGUAGGGGAGACUGGAAUUCCUGGUGUAGCGGUGAAAUGCGCAGAUAUCAGGAGGAACACCGAUGGCGAAGGCAGGUCUCUGGGCCACUACUGACGCUGAGAAGCGAAAGCAUGGGGAGCGAACAGGAUUAGAUACCCUGGUAGUCCAUGCCGUAAACGUUGGGAACUAGGUGUGGGUCUCAUUCCACGAGAUCCGUGCCGCAGCUAACGCAUUAAGUUCCCCGCCUGGGGAGUACGGCCGCAAGGCUAAAACUCAAAGGAAUUUGACGGGGGCCCGCACAAGCGGCGGAGCAUGCGGAUUAAUUCGAUGCAACGCGAAGAACCUUACCAAGGCUUGACUUAUACCGAAAACUUCCAGA